rnacentral:rRNA from 1 species
UUCUUUAAAUGAGGACUAGUAUCAAUGGCAUCACGAGGAUCCUACUGUCUCCCCCCUCUAAUCAGUGAAACUGAUCUCUCCGUGAAGAAGCGGGGAUAUACAUAUAAGACGAGAAGACCCCAUGGAGCUUUAAACCCGACAGCACCCGCUUAUUUUAAGCCCAAUUAUACGCCCGUACCUGUCUGCUCGGUUUUAGGUUGGGGUGACCACGGAGUAUAAAGUAACCUCCAUGAAGAAAGGGGUAAGUACCCUUAUUAGAGAAAGACACUUCCAAAAACUAACAAAUUAAUUUUUAAUGAUCCGAUAUUCGAUCAACGAACCAAGUUACCCUGGGGAUAACAGCGCAAUCCACCUCGAGAGCUCCUAUCGACA